ACAGUUUAGUGUUAUUCUUCUUUACUUAGGAGUGAGAGGUCUUAUGUUCGAAUCUCUUGGAUAACGAAUUCGAUACCAAAUUAGGUUAUUUAUUGUGUAGCUUAGCGGAAAUCUCCCUCUUCUUAAUGUAAAAAUAUAUCGAUGUACUAAAAAAAAAUGGAUAGCACACUUCGGAAAAAUAAAUAUUACUAUUCCGCAGGAUAUAUUACAUUUAUUCGUAAUAUAAAGAAAAAACAAAUGAAAACGUGUAUAGAUUAGCAAGAUUUUUUUUUGUUUGUUAAAAUAGAUGAGCAAGAUUAACUGAAUCGACUUAUAUGGUAAGUUAAUUCAACCCAAUUUAUACCAUUGAAUCCAAAACUCCAAUCAAUGACGUUAAUGUCUCACUUUAAUUAUUUAGUGUGCGACUGUAAUCUCACCAGACAUUUUAAUUCGGUGUUACUAUUUCACCUAAGUAUUUAUAACGUGCUAUUGACAAAAAAAACAGAAAAUCUUUAUAACGCACGUGGUAGGUAACCAGUUUAUACUUUAUAUCAAAGAGUACAAUUUAAGGUGUAUACUUGUUUCUAGUUGCUAGUGAAUAAAAGCGUGUUUCUGGUUAAUAGUGAAUAAACACGUGAUUCUUGUUCCUCUAACACCUAUUUGAUUUUAUGAAUGAAUGAAUAUCGUUUUUUUUUU
rnacentral:lncRNA from 1 species